rnacentral:miRNA from 1 species
AGGGAGAUUGAUAGGAAAGUGG